UUUUUUUUUUUUUCAUAGGAUUUUGGAAAGACUGAGGCAAUCGUUGCUGAAGUCAGUGUUGUAAUGGUGAAUCGGGAUUUUUAAUGAAGUGGGUUUGAUUAUUCUUGACUGUUUUGUGAAAUCGAGUUACGUCUGAGAUUGAAAGAAUUAAAAGGGUGUCUAUAGGAUUGAGUAUGCGGAGUGAAUGAAAUUUAUUGGGUUAAUCUAACAAGACAGUCAGUGGAUAC
rnacentral:lncRNA from 1 species